rnacentral:lncRNA from 1 species
UAGACAGGGAGUAAAUUCAGUGAUCUGUGUCAUAAACAGCAAUAUGCUGCAUUCCUCAUGGGGAGGUCCUGGAUACGUUCUGGAAGAGACCCAAUAUACCAGGCUCAGGGCCAGCAAAAUUAAUGGGCAACCAGGGAUAAUCCCACACCAUAGGGAUUCAGUUAUGAGAUGUUUUGGAACAUGUUCUAAACAGAAGAUGAAACAGGGCAACAGGAUGGAAGGAUGGAUUAUAAAAAAUGACACUGUCUCAAGUCUAGGUAAAUCUCAUUGCAAUUCAAGGACUCACUAUACAGAAGUCUUGCUGACAGGACAGUUUUAAGUAUCGAGUCAAGGAACCGAAGGAGACAAAAUUCAGAAGACUGGUUACUGAAAGAGGGAUAAGCAAGCAUUGUUUCUGGGUAUGCGGAGAUGAAAAAAAACCAUGGAGAGAUGACUUAUAUCUUGAAGUGACAAACAAGAUUAAAGAUGAACUAGAUGAAUCAUUUUGUAGGAAGUCAUUAGAUAAGAGAAUAGCAAGUCACUGAAAAACAGCUACCACUGUUCCAAUAUUUAGAAAAUAAAAGAGUCUGCAAGAGAGCCUGAACA